rnacentral:rRNA from 1 species
GUGACGAAGCGACGCCGCGUGUGGGAAGAAGGCCUUCGGGUUGUAAACCACUGUCGGGAGUUAAGAAAUGCAAGAAUGUUAAUAGCGUUUUUGCUUGACUAAGGCUCCGGAGGAAGCCACGGCUAACUCUGUGCCAGCAGCCGCGGUAAUACAGAGGCGGCAAGCGUUGUUCGGAAUUAUUGGGCGUAAAGAGCACGUAGGCGGCUAUAUAAGUCGGUUGUGAAAGCCUUCCGCUCAACGGGAGAACAGCAUCCGAUACUGUGUGGCUUGAGUGUGGGAGGGGAGAGCGGAACUUCUGGUGGAGCGGUGAAAUGCGUAGAUAUCAGAAGGAACGCCGGCGGCGAAAGCGGCUCUCUGGCCCAUAACUGACGCUGAGUGUGCGAAAGCUAGGGGAGCAAACGGGAUUAGAUACCCCGGUAGUCCUAGCCGUAAACGAU